rnacentral:rRNA from 1 species
GUGUCAGCAGCCGCGGUAAUACGAAGGGGGCGAGCGUUGUUCGGAUUUACUGGGCGUAAAGGGCGCGCAGGCGGCUUUGUUUGUCAGGCGUGAAAGCCCCGGGCUCAACCUGGGAAUAGCGCUUGGGACGGCAGGGCUAGAGAUCGGGAGAGGAGAGUGGAAUUCCCAGUGUAGAGGUGAAAUUCGUAGAUAUUGGGAAGAACACCGGUGGCGAAGGCGGCUCUCUGGACCGAGACUGACGCUGAGGCGCGAAAGCGUGGGGAGCAAACAGGAUUAGAAACCCCCGUAGUCC